UAGGGAAUCUUCCGCAAUGGACGCAAGUCUGACGGAGCAACGCCGCGUGAGUGAAGAAGGAUUUCGGUUCGUAAAACUCUGUUGUUAGAGAAGAACAGCGCAUAGCGUAACUGUUAUGCGUGUGACGGUAUCUAACCAGCAAGCCACGGCUAACUACGUGCCAGCAGCCGCGGUAAUAUGAAGGUGGCAAGCGUUGUCCGGAUUUAUUGGGCGUAAAGCGAGCGCAGGCGGUCAAUUAAGUCUGAGGUGAAAGCCACCGGCUCAACCGGGGAGGGUCGUUGGGAACGGGUUGACAUGAGUGCGGAAAAGGAGGGGGAAGUUCCAUGUGUGGCGGUGAAAUGCGUGGAUAUAUGGAGGACAACAAGUGGGGAGGGCGAGACUCUGGUCUGUAGCUGACGCUGAGGUUCAAAAGCGUGGGUAGCAAACAGG
rnacentral:rRNA from 1 species